CUUCUAGUAGAAGAGUAUGACAUUCAAGAAUCAUAAUUUAAUAUCACUCUGAGGAGCCUCUGGAAAAUGCUUAUCAACAAAAGGUUCUUACCAAGGAAAUGAGGAAUGAAUAAUACGAACUGAAACCAAGAAGGCAAGAGGAGUCCUAUUGAUGGGAUCUAUGUAGUGAUCAUCUUCAGCAGGAAGGAAGAAAUAUAGAGAGGAGAUCCUGGCAAGCAGCAGUGUGGAACAAAGUGGAGCAGCUGCAGGCAGAUCCAGCCAGGGCCCCACCCCAACCCCAGCGGCUUGGGCGCUUGGGCC